AUUGUUCGCAAUGGGCGCAAGCCUGACGACGCAACGCCGCGUGGAGGAUGAAGAUCUUCGGGUCGUAAACUCCUUUCGAUCGAGACGAAUGGCCCUCGGGCUAAUACCCUGAGGGAGUGACGGUACCGAGAGAAGAAGCCCCGGCUAACUCCGUGCCAGCAGCCGCGGUAAUACGGGGGGGGCAAGCGUUGUUCGGAAUUACUGGGCGUAAAGGGCUCGUAGGCGGCCAACUAAGUCGGACGUGAAAUCCCUCGGCUCAACCGGGGAACUGCGUCCGAUACUGGAUGGCUCGAGUUCGGGAGAGGGAUGCGGAAUUCCAGGUGUAGCGGUGAAAUGCGUAGAUAUCUGGAGGAACACCGGUGGCGAAGGCGGCAUCCUGGACCGAUACUGACGCUGAGGAGCGAAAGCCAGGGGAGCAAACGGG
rnacentral:rRNA from 1 species